CGAGCACGCGCGUGUGGCAUAUCAAUAAGCGGAGGAAAAGAAACUAACAAGGAUUCCCUUAGUAACGGCGAGUGAAGCGGGAAGAGCUCAAAUUUGAAAUCUUCAAGGUUUUACCUUGACGAAUUGUAGUUUAAAGAAGUGUUUUCUGUUGGUGUUUUGGUAAAAGUUCUUUGGAAUAGGACAUCAUAGAGGGUGAGAAUCCCGUAUUUGACCAUUACUUCCAGCGUUGUGAUACACUUUCAACGAGUCGGAUUGUUUGGGAGUGCAGUCCAAAAUGGGUGGUAAAUUUCAUCUAAAGCUAAAUAUUGGCGAAAGACCGAUAGCGAACAAGUACCGUGAGGGAAAGAUGAAAAGAACUUUGAAAAGAGAGUUAAACAGUACGUGAAAUUGUCAAAAGGGAAGCGUUUGACACCAGUGUUGUUUUUCCGAAAAUCAAUUACGAAUGUUUUGUUUUUAAGGAGUUAUGACUUCAUCGGCUUGCUCCUUUCUUUAUGAAACUUUCUUAAUGCACUCUUCGGUUAACAAGUCAACAUCAAUUUCUUUUGUUGUAAAAGGGUAUGAGGAAGGUGGCUCUCUUUUCGGAGAAAGUGUUUAUAGCCUUGUGCCUCUACAAUCGGAGAGAUUGAGGUCUGCAGCGUAGAUCCUUCGGGGUUAGAUACGUUUGUGCUAAGUUAUAGCUUUUCAUAGACAACAUUGUUGACUAUGAUUAAGUCAUUGUAGCUUACUCGCUUAUGCUAUUUUACCUACGCUUAGGAUGUUGAACUCUAUCACACACAG
rnacentral:rRNA from 1 species